CACAGAGAGGUGAGAGGCUUACUCCUUCCUUCUUGCACAGUACACACCUCUAUCAAUGACGCACACAGGACUAGCAUUACAACAACACUGUGCUCUCACACAUGCUUAGUCAUUGUCAAGAGAGUGUAGUCAGACAGCUGGUGGGGUUUGACAGCUGAUCAGCAAACAUGUCAGAGAAACUGGAAGGCAACAUUUUAGUGACUGGGACCAACAGAGGCAUUGGUUUGGAGCUGGUGAAACAGCUGGCAGAGAAGACAGGAGAGGUGGCUCACAUCUAUGCCUGUUGCAGAGAACCUGCUGGAACCAGCGCUGAGGCCCUGAGAGACCUCACCAAUCAGUAUCCUGGAAAGAUCACUCUGAUCAAACUAGACACGUCUGAUGAGGACAGUAUCUCUGCUGCUGUCCAGGCUGUGAGCAAGCUGAUCGGGGCCGGUGGGUUGAACCUCCUCAUCAACAAUGCUGCCAUCAACCAACCAGCCUCACCAGCACCAUUAUCUGCCACCAGGAAAAAUGACAUGAUGGAUGUGUAUGAAACCAAUGUGGUCGGACCAUUUCUCAUUGCAAAGAUGUUUCUCCCACUGCUCCAGAGAUCAGCAGAAAGGGAAAAGAACAAGGGUGAUGAAAUGUCCUGCAGCAGGUCAGCCAUCAUCAACAUCUCCACGAUCAUCUCAUCCAUAGAGAAAUGUCCAGAAACCUUCCCUAUAGCACAGAUGUACUCGUAUAGGACCAGCAAGGCAGCGCUGAAUAUGCUGACUCGCUGUCUAGCUGAGGACUUCAAGAUACACAACAUACUGGUAGCAGCAAUCCACCCCGGCUGGGUCCGCACAGACAUGGGAGGAGAACAGGGUAACUACCAGGAAGGGUGCUGGCCAACCAUAAGGAGCAAUUUGGGGUUCAGUUCUUGUCAAAGUACACUUUGUGGACAAAGUACACUCACAUGUGGACAGGAGGAGGUGGGGAUCGAACCACCAAUCCUGUGACCUACCUCCUGAGCUACUGAGCCAUUUUUGUAGACCAAACAACUCAGCAGUAAAUAAAGUUGGCUCCUUUAACCACCCAGGACAGCGUACUUGGCAUGCUCAGUGUGAUGUCAUCACUCAGCAACAAAGAUUGUGGGAUGCUUGUGGACUGGCAAGGAAACACUAUCCCCUGGUAGCAACCACACCAGACCUACCGACUAAACACAGCAACAGCCACCUUUGUUUGACAUCUGAGAGUCAAAUUAAAAGCUUUUUAGCAACAUGUUGUCUCUAACUUCUCAUUGGACAAUUUGGCUGAAAAACAUGCUAGUCACAUUUUGAAAUGGAUAUUUUAUACCAUUUAUUUAAACAUAUCCUAGCAUAAUAUUUACAUUUACUCAUUUGGCAGACUACUUGAUUUUAUGUUCAGUGGUUAUAUCCAUUAUAAACACAACUGCCAAUGUGUCUUUGUUUUCCUCAUUUAAAAACUAAAUGUUGCAUUACAUCUGACUUUCACAUCUUGGUACAUUAACAGAAAGGUUCUGAUUUUUUGAAGUCCACCUUAAAGCAACAUUAUGUAAGAUUUGUUUUUUGUGUGAUGUGGCAUCCCUACCUCAGAGUGUAAUUCACUGUUGUAAUAAAGAUCCUUAGGAGCUUCUAAGGAGCUGUACACGUGCA